UACGUAGGGGGCAAGCGUUGUCCGGAAUCAUUGGGCGUAAAGAGCGUGUAGGCGGCCCGAUAAGUCCGCUGUGAAAGUCCAGGGCUCAACCCUGGGAUGCCGGUGGAUACUGUCGGGCUCGAGUCCGGAAGAGGAGUGCGGAAUUCCAGGUGUAGCGGUGAAUGCGUAGAUAUCUGGAGGAACACCGGUGGCGAAGGCGGCAUCCUGGACCGGCAUUGACGCUGAGGCGCGAAAGCCAGGG
rnacentral:rRNA from 1 species